rnacentral:rRNA from 1 species
AACGAACGCUGGCGGCAUGCCUAACACAUGCAAGUCGAACGAGAUCUUCGGGUCUAGUGGCGCACGGGUGCGCAACGCGUGGGAAUCUGCCCUUUGGUUCGGAAUAACAGUUGGAAACGACUGCUAAUACCGGAUGGUGACGAAAGUCCAAAGAUUUAUCGCCAGAGGAUGAGCCCGCGUAGGAUUAGCUAGUUGGUGUGGUAAAGGCGCACCAAGGCGACGAUCCUUAGCUGGUCUGAGAGGAUGAUCAGCCACACUGGGACUGAGACACGGCCCAGACUCCUACGGGAGGCAGCAGUGGGGAAUAUUGGACAAUGGGCGAAAGCUUGAUCCAGCAAUGCCGCGUGAGUGAUGAAGGCCUUAGGGUUGUAAAGCUCUUUUACCCGGGAUGAUAAUGACAGUACCGGGAGAAUAAGCUCCGGCUAACUCCGUGCCAGCAGCCGCCGUAA